rnacentral:lncRNA from 1 species
GAUGAACAUGGGGAUUGGUUGGGCCGGUGCUUCCAGACUUGCCUGAAAUGGAAUCCUCCAGUUGAGGUUUGUUUUUUCGCUACCUUUUAACUCUCUGCACCCUUCUUUUUUCCCCGCUCUUUCCAACCAUGGUGGUUUGGUUCAUUGUAUUUGCUUGGAUUGUUUCUUAAGUAGUCCUACAGUGUAGGUUUCAUAGAGCUAGAGCAUCCAAAUAGUGUUUCUCCUAUCAGGUUGUGUCUUUUAGUUUAAAAAUACACCGAGUUGCUUGGAGUGUCCAAAAUUGCGCGCCUUGCCGACAAAAAAAAGAUAGAAAUACAUCACAUUCACAUACAUAGCUCCUUAAGCCUAGCGACAGACAGCUUGUGCGCGGACACACGUCAAGCUUCCACACUUGGCUCAGGCACUCCACCAGGCUGAUUGAGCUUGAGUAAGUUGGGAGCUUAGUUGGUCGUCUGCGGAUGCAUGCCAAGACGCGCCUCCUGCACUAGAGUAGCAUAAUUUAUGGUAUUGCUAUGCUAAUACUUAAUACUCAUACCUCAUAGUUGAAAAAACAAACAUAACAGAAACCAAUGCCUUGAACCCAAGUUUGAUUAUUUAUAUACCAGCUCAUGAGAAGGGAAUCGAAUGGUAUAUUGCUUGAAUAAGCUGAGUACGCAUUACCAUGUGAUGGCAACAUGUUCAGAGACUUACUCCAGGUCAUAUGAAAUAGAGACCCAAAAUAACAUACAACUACGCAAUUUUGACAUUGUUUCCAUUGGCGGUUUGGCACCACCCAAGCAGACAAGAAUUUUAAGCACUUGAUAUUUUUUCCCUUCCUCAACAAAUUAAUUGAUUGUUUUUGUUAAUUGUUGUUGCAGGAAGAUUGAUUCUUGCAGAUGUGAGGGAAGAACUUGUGGAGAGGCUCACCUCGCUCUUCACAAAAGGCCAAUACAUACUUGUUGUACUACUCGAUGAACUUGUAUUUUUAUAUAUGUUUGUAAAUGUUUCCAAUGUGGCUUUAGUGAUGUCAGCUAGGAUCCUUGUUGUAAUGGACGAAUUUUUUUUUUUAGAAUUGGUAAUGGAUGAAAUAACUUGGGAAUUUGUGAACUGGGCCAAAUUAUGGGCUUGGUAAAUCAAAAUAAUUGAGUUGUGUAAGUUUGUUG